CAGGGUGUAGCUAAGCACAGAUAAAGUAUCUCCCUUACACUGAGAAGUCGCCCGUGCAAACCGGGCCGCCCUGAC
rnacentral:tRNA from 2 species